GAUGAACGCUGGCGGCGUGGAUAAGGCAUGCAAGUCAAGGGGGCCCGCAAGGGCAACCGGCAGACGAGGUAGUAAUAAGUAGGUACGAACUUUCGAGUCUUGAAUAGCUCGGCGAAAGCCGAGGUAAUACAAGAUGGUCCCUCCGGGGUAAAGAUUUAUCGCUCGAAAAUCGGCCUGCUCGGUAUCAGGUAGUUGGUAGGGUAAUGGCCUACCAAGCCAAUGACGCCUAGGGGAGCUGAGAGGCUGACCCCCACCGAUGGGACUGAGACACGGCCCAGACUCCUACGGGAGGCAGCAGUGGGGAAUCUUAGACAAUGGGCGCAAGCCUGAUCUAGCCAUGCCGCGUGAGCGAUGAAGGCCUUAGGGUUGUAAAGCUCUUUCAGUGGGGAAGAUAAUGACUGUACCCACAGAAGAAGCCCCGGCUAACUCCGUGCCAGCCGCCGCUGUAA
rnacentral:rRNA from 1 species